rnacentral:rRNA from 1 species
GAUGAACGCUGGCGGCGUGCCUAAUACAUGCAAGUCGAACGCUGGAGAUCUAGCUUGCUAGAUCGAAGGAGUGGCGAACGGGUGAGUAAUACAUAAGCAACCUACCCACGAAGACUGGGAUAAUCUCUGGAAACGGGGACUAAUACCGGAUAGGUAAUCGAAAGGCAUCUUCUGGUUAUUAAAGGUUAAAAACACUGGUGGAUGGGCUUAUGGCGCAUUAGUUAGUUGGUGAGGUAACGGCCCACCAAGACGAUGAUGCGUAGCCGGCCUGAGAGGGUGAACGGCCACAUUGGGACUGAGACACGGCCCAGACUCCUACGGGAGGCAGCAGUAGGGAAUUUUCGGCAAUGGGGGCAACCCUGACCGAGCAACGCCGCGUGAGUGAAGACGGCCUUCGGGUUGUAAAGCUCUGUUGUAAGGGAAGAACGGUAGAUAGAGAAUAUCUAAGUGACGGUACCUUACCAGAAAGCCACGGCUAACUACGUG